AUUGAACGCUGGCGGCAGGCCUAACACAUGCAAGUCGAGCGGAUGAAGGGAGCUUGCUCCUGGAUUCAGCGGCGGACGGGUGAGUAAUGCCUAGGAAUCUGCCUGGUAGUGGGGGAUAACGUCCGGAAACGGGCGCUAAUACCGCAUACGUCCUGAGGGAGAGAGUGGGGGAUCUUCGGACCUCACGCUAUCAGAUGAGCCUAGGUCGGAUUAGCUAGUUGGUGGGGUAAAGGCCUACCAAGGCGACGAUCCGUAACUGGUCUGAGAGGAUGAUCAGUCACACUGGAACUGAGACACGGUCCAGACUCCUACGGGAGGCAGCAGUGGGGAAUAUUGGACAAUGGGCGAAAGCCUGAUCCAGCCAUGCCGCGUGUGUGAAGAAGGUCUUCGGAUUGUAAAGCACUUUAAGUUGGGAGGAAGGGAAGUAAGUUAAUACCUUGCUGUUUUGACGUUACCAACAGAAUAAGCACCGGCUAACUUCGUG
rnacentral:rRNA from 1 species